GCUGGAGCCUAGGUGCACCGAGCAGUGUGCUCAGGACCGCCAUGUCCUGUGCUGUUGCUCUGAGGUGGUAAGUCCUCCCCAGUAAGUCCUCCCCAGCGGUUCAGACGACUUACUCUUAGCUGGCGAUGGCUGCGGCUUACGUUAGGGUGUCUGUCCAGUCUCUCAGCCCUCUCUGUGCGUGCACACUUGGGGUUUUUCUUGUGACAGCACUGAACUAGUCAGCUGUUCAUGUCAGGCUAUUUUUACUGAGAAUCGCCAAGGUUCAGGCUGUUCUUUCUCUGUCUUACUGCUAUAGCUCUGCUCUUUGAUGCCAUUUGUAAAGAGAAAGAUAAAUACAACUUAUAUUAGGUUGGAUUGAUCUGGCUUUGCAGGUAGAAAUCUUGGUUUGCAAAGGAGUUAAAACAUUGUUGGAGCGGGAAUAGGGCCUCCUGUAUGUGGUCCUGGCACUUGGGAGGCAGAAGCAGGAGGUUGGUCAUGAGUUCAAGGCCCAUGUGGGCCACAGAGUGCAAUUCUAUUUCAAAACCUGAACAAAAUAACGUCUAGCGCGAUGGCUCAGCAAGCAAAGGCAGGUGAGGGCCCUUGCUGUCAAGCUGGUGUCUGAGCUUGAUUCCUGAGUGUGGUAGAGAGAAGCAGCUCUCGCAAGCCGUGUUCUGACUUCCACACAGUUGCUGGGGUCUGUGUGUGCCCACACAGGUACACAUGUGUGGGAACAAACAAACAAAUGAGUACACAGAUGUAAUGGGGAGAACAUUUAAAAACUUAAAAAAAAAAAAAAAACAAACUCCCCAACCAAAAACCCUACCUAGACUCACAACCAAUCAGUCAACCCCAUUUCCCAACAAAGUGAAGCACAACACGGUAUAGUACAACACAACACAAUACAACAGAACACAGCAGUGUUGGGGACAGUGACAGUGAUAUCUAAGGCUUUUCGUGAUGACCGUCCCUUCAGAUUGUGCCGAAACUCAUUUUACAGCUGGGAGCUGAAGCAUGACUCUUCUAAAUUUAAAACAAUUAAUUUAGCUGUGGGUGGCAAAGGCCUGCCAUUCCAGCACGCAGGAGGUGUGAGUAGAAGAGUCAGAAAGCCAGCAUCUUCCUCGUCCCAUUGAGUUCAAGGCCAGUGUUAGCUGUGUGCAACCGUCUCAAAGCCCAAACAGAACAAACAAACAACCCAAACCCAGACCAAAGACAAAUGAUAGAAUUGGUGGUUGUGACUAAAAACUGGCCAUCGUGAGAUUCUUGGACAUGUUACCAGCAUGGGAAAAACACACUCUUGAUUUGUUAUUUAAAUUGGUGAAAUUAAAAGAGACUCUCUGGUCAUCACUAUGUUCAAUGUAUGUGAUUGGUUCCCAGUGAUCUCAUUUGCCCAGACUGUUUUUCAAGAUCUUUUUUUGGGGGGAGGGGGCUAGGGGGAGGCCUUUCAAGUGUGUUGCAGAUUUGUUGAGGAAGCAUCCCUUUGGAGAACUCACGAGCUACUCACACUGAUGAUGAGUCUGACGCUCCAUCUAGACAAGGACUCCUGCACAGCGGACAAGCUGUAAUGACUUCAUGGUGGGACGCGGUGGCGACCUUGACGCCUUAGAGAAAGGCCCAGUGUGCAUUCUACUCUCUCAGUUACGCUAUCAAAACCAGAGCUCAGAGAAGUUGAGUAAUUGACUCACAGUUUAAAAGCUUAGGUUUUUCCUGAUCUCUAGGAUUUGAUUAUUAGGAAAAAUAGGAUUGUUAGGAAAAACUAGAGAAACCUUAUUGAAUUUGAAUAACACUUACUAGUUGGUACUUUGUCAACCCUUCAAGAAGUUGCAGCUACCUGACCAAAAAGUAGAAAGCCACCUUCCCUAAUGAUUUUAGGACAGCAAGCCAUGGAGACGGCCCAGCUGUUAAGAGCACUUGCUGCUGUGGCGGAGGAUCUGGACUUGGUUGCCAGGACCCAGUCACAUCAGGCAGGUGACAACUGUCUGUGACUCCUGCUCUAGGUGACUCUCAGGCCUCUGCAGGCACCCGAAGUAGUCUGCAUAUACCACAGACAGACAGACAGACACACACGCACACACCUACACAAUUUAAAGAAGAAUUUUAGCCUGAAGCUUUCAUAUUAAAGAAGAUGGCAGAGUUGAGGCAAAUGAGUAGACUUUGGACUGGGGUUGGGGCUCAGUUGGUGGAGUGCUUAUGGGCACCUAAAAAUUCAGUUUUCAGCACUGGGCAACCUGGGUGUGCUGGCACAGACCUGUGAUGCUGGGAUAUGUAGGAUCUGGAAUUUCAUGUCCUGGACGGCAUGAGUUCUACACCAGCCUGGACUCUUGUCAGUUCCCGUCUAUUAAGACACAAGAAAAAACAAAAAAACCAAAAAAACCCCAGCAAACCAGGGCUAGGUGUGGCUCAGCAUACCAUAGAGGUGGGGGAGAUAACAGCAUCUAUCUCGUUUAAAGAAGGUUUAGGUAUGUGCACCGGAAGCCUAGUGUAACUUGUACUGUGGAUCCUGGCAACAUGCGGUGUUGUUUCGUGUGCACCUGCUCUGGGCAGGCUGUGUUCUGUCUGUCAUGCUCGCUGUGCCUAACCCCCGACACAUUUAAGGCCAGGCCUGUUUCAGGAUUUAUGGUUAACGUACGAGGCAGGUGUUUUCGCCAUUCAGAGAAGGUGGCAUAAACCCAGGGAGAGUUUAAUGGGCCCAGUGCUGGGAACUGGAGAGUAAAGCCUGUCCUGACUUCAGCCUCUGAGUUCAAGGCCCGUGGCCACCGCUUAUGUCACAUAAUACUUCUUUAUGCUUAGAAGCAAUAUAAAUCUCCAGUAGGAUGGCUGCGAAGUGCCUUUUGGCAGCCUCUGUUGCUUCAGCUGUCUGAAAGGAAUGGCUUUCAUAAACAUGGAAUGGGUGUUGGAUUUUCACUUCGUGAUAAUUCAUAUUACAGAAGUGGGAAAAGUCAUUACUACAGAGUCCCAGUAAGCCUGAAGCUGUGGACACGAAAUGAGCUGGCCAGCCUCGGGACAGGAAUUGGUUCCCUUUUGGGUACCUAAUAACACAUGUGCUUAAAAGAGAAAUUUCAUGAAUGGAAAUGUAAGCCAAGUGCUUUUCUUUCUCUGUUUAUAGUAUUUGUGAUCAAAUCCAGGGUUUUGUACACCUAGGUAGGCUUAGAACUAUGCCCCCAGCUUUUGAGAAUGGAAAUUCAGAUUUAAAAGAGGAAACGAAAAAUAAAGACUCACCCAUAACCCCAUGAUUCUUUGUGCAUGCCCCCUCCCCGUGUGUGUGUUUGUGUUUGUGUUUGUGUGUGUGUGUGUGAGAGAGAGAGAGAGAGAGAGAGAGAGAGAGAGAAUUAACUCCCGAGUCCUGUCUUAGCUAAGUGCUCUACCUCUGAGCCACCCCUAGCCACAGCAUUGUUUAGUUACCUGUUGCUCUCUUUCAGAAUUUUUAUUGUGGUUAGCAUGUCUGAGAUACAGUGUUUCGUUGUAACCACUUUUCACGGCUGGUUCCCUGCCCCUCAGUACAUGUACAAAGUAGCCAUCUCCACCCUCAUCUCGAGAACUUUUGUUCUUUCCAAGUGGAAGCUUGAGGUCGGUUCAGCAUUAAGUCUCCAGUCCUCCCCGCUGUAUGCAGCCCCCGGAAACCAUCUUCCUCUCUGUCUCAGGCUUGCAUGUCCAGGUCUCACAUAGCUAGAGUUAUACAACCUUUGCCCUUUGCUUCUGGCUCAUUUUACUUGGCAACAGUAUCUUCAGGUUUCGCCCAUGCUGUGUCAGAAUUUCCUUCCAUCCUGAGGCUGAGCAGCCUUCCAUUCUGUGGCUCCUUUCCUUCUCCCGCUAUCUUUAAAUGGACACCUGGUUGCUUCCAUCCUUU
rnacentral:lncRNA from 1 species